CCCUUAGAUGUUCUGGGCCGCACGCGCGCUACACUGACAGAGCCAACGAGCUCUUCACCUUGGCCGGAAGGUCUGGGUAAUCUUGUUAAACUCUGUCGUGCUGGGGAUAGAGCAUUGCAAUUAUUGCUCUUCAACGAGGAAUGCCUAGUAAGCGCGUGUCAUCAGCACGCGUUGAUUACGUCCCUGCCCUUUGUACACACCGCCCGUCGCUACUACCGAUUGAAUGGCUCAGUGAGGCCUUCGGACUGGCUCAGGGAGGUUGGCAACGACCACCCCGAGCCGGAAAGUUCGUCAAACUCGGUCAUUUAGAGGAAGUAAAAGUCGUAACA
rnacentral:rRNA from 1 species